UACGUAGGUGGCAAGCGUUGUCCGGAUUUAUUGGGUUUAAAGGGUGCGUAGGCGGCUUUGUAAGUCAGUGUGGAAAUAUGGCAGCUCAACUGUCAAGGUGCCAUUGAUACUGCGGAGCUUGAGUACAGAUGAGGUAGGCGGAAUUGACGGUGUAGCGGUGAAAUGCUUAGAUAUCGUCAAGAACACCUAUAGCGAAGGCAGCUUACUAGGCUGUAACUGACGCUGAGGCACGAAAGUGUGGGGAUCAAACAGG
rnacentral:rRNA from 1 species